GAUGAAGAACGUAGCGAAAUGCGAUACUUGGUGUGAAUUGCAGAAUCCCGUGAACCAUCGAGUCUUUGAACGCAAGUUGCGCCCGAAGCCAUUAGGCCGAGGGCACGCCUGCCUGGGCGUCACACGUCGUUGCCCCCCCAUCUACUCCUUCGGGAUUGCGGGGGGCGGAUGAUGGCCUCCCGUGCGCCUCGUCGCGCGGUUGGCAUAAAUGCCAAGUCCUCGGCGACGCACGCCACGACAAUCGGUGGUUGCGAAACCUCGGUUGCCCGUCGUGUGCGGUCGUCGCGCAUCGAGGGCUCGAAAAAAUUGCCGGGCUCCGGCUCGGCUUUCAACGCGACCCCAGGUCAGGCGGGGUUACCCGCUGAAUUUAAGCAUAUCAAAACGGAGGA
rnacentral:misc_RNA from 1 species